UCUCUGUAGGUUGUAUUUUCUUAAUAUCUUGGACUAGUGCCCUAAUCACUCACACUCCUUUGUUCUUAUCUCCAUUAUCCACCAAGAGUCUAAGAGGAGAGACACCUCGCUCUCUCUCUCUGUGUCAUUGGGUGGAUCAAACAUUUCUGCAAUCAAUGAAACAAACAAUUCAUAUUAAUCCAAUAUCUCUGCCGUAGCCCAAACUUUUGAAUGUUUUUUUACCAUAGAAAUCCGCGGUCGAUGAACCAACUGGAGUCGAGGGAAUUUUCUGAUGCAUCUGAUCUCCUUCUUUCUUAGAACUGAUGGUUUUAGACGAAAACUUUUUAUUUUCUUGUUCGGAAAAACUGCUGGUUUAUACAACAAUAUCAUGCACAGGUGACUUGGCUCUUCUCUCACUCUCUCUGUAUCAAUCGAACGAUCUGUUUCUCCUAGGGUUUCUCUGCUGGCUACGAAUGUUAAGAGUACCCACAAGAUCCAGAUCUGGCUCUCUCUCUCUCUCUCAGGAUUUCUCUGGAUCCAAACGAACGUGUCUUUUGAUCCUCUACCCCCUUUUUCUUCUCCAUGGAUUGUUUAUACUCUGUACACUGAAGCCGCUUGUAGUCAUAACUUUGGGGUUCACUGAUGACUGGGUUCAUUCUCCUCCCUCUCCCUCCCUCUCUCUCUCUCUCUCACAUACAACACACAAAUUAGCACAAAUUAGCUCGUUUCAUUUGAGAUGUCUCUGAAUUCAAUUCAAAGUCUGAUUCGUGUUGUUUUUAGGGCUUUUCUUCGUCCAAUUGUAUUUAUUUAUUUUGGAAGACCACCUUCAUCUUCUCUUCUAGUAGGGCCUGGAUAAAGAGGUUGAAGAACUGACCCUAAAUGGCCUCUAAUAGGGGAUGGUACCAAUUUGCAUACCCUAACCCUAACUAGUGUUGCAUUUACUCUUUGAGAUUUCCAUGUUGUGAAAAUCCUUCUUGAGAUUCCAUUGCUAGCUAGCUAGUUUAAUUUGUGUUUGACCAUUCAGUAAUGGCAUGGAGUUCUCCAUUUAUUACUUUACCUUCUUUUUUUUUUUGUGUGUGGAUAAAUCUGAGAAUUAUCUUUUCUUUAUUAUUAUUAUUAUUAUUAUUUUGUAAAGAAGUUUAUCCAAUUGAUUGAUAAUUCAGAGUUUGUACACAAUGUAUCCAUAGCAUUUGUGACAAGUUUUCAAGUAGUAGUACUGUAUAUUAGAGAGAAAGGAAGUGUUAAUUAAGUUUCAAAAUAAGCCAAUUGCUGUGUUUGUUUUGUUUUUUUUAAUAAAUCUGAUUACUGUUUAUUAGUGAGAAAGAAAAUUACAAAGAAAGGGAAACAACUCGAAAACAACGCCCCCAUCGAACAAGGGAGCCGAGGGCCGCGGCAGUCCUAACCAUAAUCAACACACUACUACCCUAAGCUCCCAGUAUCCAGCCCAAGAACCAAAAGAUAGAAAUCCAACAAGAGCAUUUGACAAUGAGAUCUGCAAAUUUCAAUCAGCCAGCCAGUCAAAAGACCUUAAUCUUCAUGGAACCAAUCCGCCAUCAUCAUACUCUUGCCUUUCAAUUCCAAAAUCCUUAUUGUAUAAUACUAUUUUUUUGUGAGUUGUGGGUGCAAUGCAAUUGCAUUUCUGGCCAAAAAAGAAAAUUAUUCCCAUUCAAACUUAUCCUUAACGAAAAGGGGUGUACUCAAAACUUACCUUUUGGAAUAAAUACAACCCACCCAAUACACUAUAAACAGGUGUGACAAACACUUAUAAUGAAUUACUAAGAAAGAGAGAUUACAAAAGACUCGGUCAAGACUUGCUAGCUAGCUAGCUAGUACGAUAUUAUCCUGAAGAGUCCAGAAGACUCUUUUGUGGCUGGAACUACAAAUACGUGUCUCCCCUUGCGUUUACAUCAGUUCUUUUUUGCCCUUUUAUGUUCUUAUCAUUAAAUAUCAAAGGUUCAAAAUUGACUUAGAAAGAACCUAUUUAAAUACACUGGCUCGUCACUUAUAGAUAAUGCUUUUAAGUGGUCUUCUUGAGAGGUAUGUUUCCUUUUAAAAAAAUUACACAAUUUUUUUAAAAAAGAAAAAAGAAGAUGCUAUAUAUAUAUGGCAGCCAAAAAUUGCAUCCAACUGUUGCUUGCAAAACAAGAAUUACAAAUUGUACUAUUUUUCUUUCUUUCUUUCUCUUUCUUUCGUUCUUUCUCUUUCUUUCUUUGUUUUUGGUUGAGUGGCUGUGGCAUUUGAGAUCAGAAGUUGUGUGUAUGGCUCUCUUCAAUUAACUAGUGAGGAAGUAGAAGACUAUUGGUACAACAGACAGGUCAAUUACCUCAAGCUAGCAUUUGAAGAUGGUGGGGCUCCCCAACAUAUGAUUGGAGAAGAUGACAGUCACACCCCAUGAUGUUUGGAAUAUACCAUGAACACAGAAAGAGAGAAGAAGAAGUAUAAGACGAAGAAGAAGAGAAGAGAUUAGAGAAGACAACGUAUUGAAUAUUCAAAUUGUAGAUCCAAACGGGCAAAUAAACAAGAUUUAAAACGGUCGACAUGAUGUGACCAGCCAAAAAGAAAAAAAAAAGAUUACAAUGAUUUCAUUGGAAUUCUAAGUCGAAAAUGACAUGUAGCCUAUCAAUUUAGUAGUCCAU